rnacentral:rRNA from 1 species
AUUGAACGCUGGCGGCAUGCUUUACACAUGCAAGUCGAACGGUAACAGGCCGCAAGGUGCUGACGAGUGGCGAACGGGUGAGUAAUGCAUCGGAACGUGCCCAGUCGUGGGGGAUAACGCAGCGAAAGCUGCGCUAAUACCGCAUACGAUCUAUGGAUGAAAGCGGGGGACCGUAAGGCCUUGCGCGAUUGGAGCGGCCGAUGUCAGAUUAGGUAGUUGGUGGGGUAAAGGCUCACCAAGCCAACGAUCUGUAGCUGGUCUGAGAGGACGACCAGCCACACUGGGACUGAGACACGGCCCAGACUCCUACGGGAGGCAGCAGUGGGGAAUUUUGGACAAUGGGCGCAAGCCUGAUCCAGCAAUGCCGCGUGCAGGAAGAAGGCCUUCGGGUUGUAAACUGCUUUUGUACGGAACGAAACGGCUCUGGUUAAUACCUGGGGCUAAUGACAGUACCGUAAGAAUAAGCACCGGCUAACUACGUGCCAGCCGCCGCAGUAAUAC